rnacentral:rRNA from 1 species
UACGAAGGGGGCUAGCGUUGCUCGGAAUCACUGGGCGUAAAGCGCACGUAGGCGGUUGGACAAGUCGUGUGUUAAAGCCCCUGGCUCAACUGGGGAAGGCCUAUGAAGACUGGCUGACUUGAGGGCUUCAGAGGGACAUGGAAUUCCGGGUGGAGUGGUGAAAUGCGUAGAGAUCCGGAGGAACACCAAAGGCGCAGGCAGUGUCCUGGGAAGUACCUGACGCUCAGGGACGAAAGCUAGGGGAGCGAACGGG